rnacentral:rRNA from 1 species
GACGAACGCUGGCGGCGUGCCUAAUACAUGCAAGUCGAACGAACUCUGGUAUUGAUUGGUGCUUGCAUCAUGAUUUACAUUUGAGUGAGUGGCGAACUGGUGAGUAACACGUGGGAAACCUGCCCAGAAGCGGGGGAUAACACCUGGAAACAGAUGCUAAUACCGCAUAACAACUUGGACCGCAUGGUCCGAGCUUGAAAGAUGGCUUCGGCUAUCACUUUUGGAUGGUCCCGCGGCGUAUUAGCUAGAUGGUGGGGUAACGGCUCACCAUGGCAAUGAUACGUAGCCGACCUGAGAGGGUAAUCGGCCACAUUGGGACUGAGACACGGCCCAAACUCCUACGGGAGGCAGCAGUAGGGAAUCUUCCACAAUGGACGAAAGUCUGAUGGAGCAACGCCGCGUGAGUGAAGAAGGGUUUCGGCUCGUAAAACUCUGUUGUUAAAGAAGAACAUAUCUGAGAGUAACUGUUCAGGUAUUGACGGUAUUUAACCAGAAAGCCACGGCUAACUACGUGCCAGCAGCCGCGGUAAUACGUAGGUGGCAAGCGUUGUCCGGAUUUAUUGGGCGUAAAGCGAGCGCAGGCGGUUUUUUAAGUCUGAUGUGAAAGCCUCCGGCUCAACCGAAGAAGUGCAUCGGAAACUGGGAAACUUGAGUGCAGAAGAGGACAGUGGAACUCCAUGUGUAGCGGUGAAAUGCGUAGAUAUAUGGAAGAACACCAGUGGCGAAGGCGGCUGUCUGGUCUGUAACUGACGCUGAGGCUCGAAAGUAUGGGUAGCAAACAGGAUUAGAUACCCUGGUAGUCCAUACCGUAAACGAUGAAUGCUAAGUGUUGGAGGGUUUCCGCCCUUCAGUGCUGCAGCUAACGCAUUAAGCAUUCCGCCUGGGGAGUACGGCCGCAAGGCUGAAACUCAAAGGAAUUGACGGGGGCCCGCACAAGCGGUGGAGCAUGUGGUUUAAUUCGAAGCUACGCGAAGAACCUUACCAGGUCUUGACAUACUAUGCAAAUCUAAGAGAUUAGACGUUCCCUUCGGGGACAUGGAUACAGGUGGUGCAUGGUUGUCGUCAGCUCGUGUCGUGAGAUGUUGGGUUAAGUCCCGCAACGAGCGCAACCCUUAUUAUCAGUUGCCAGCAUUAAGUUGGGCACUCUGGUGAGACUGCCGGUGACAAACCGGAGGAAGGUGGGGAUGACGUCAAAUCAUCAUGCCCCUUAUGACCUGGGCUACACACGUGCUACAAUGGAUGGUACAACGAGUUGCGAACUCGCGAGAGUAAGCUAAUCUCUUAAAGCCAUUCUCAGUUCGGAUUGUAGGCUGCAACUCGCCUACAUGAAGUCGGAAUCGCUAGUAAUCGCGGAUCAGCAUGCCGCGGUGAAUACGUUCCCGGGCCUUGUACACACCGCCCGUCACACCAUGAGAGUUUGUAACACCCAAAGUCGGUGGGGUAACCUUUUAGGAACCAGCCGCCUAAGGUGGGACAGAUGAUUAGGGUG